rnacentral:lncRNA from 1 species
UUGUAGUGGGUCUCUUAGGAGUAGACUCUUGAGCAGCUAUUGGUAUGAGCUUAGUCAAGCUUUUUCCCUAAUAUCUUUUUCUUCUCUAUGCACAGGUCUUUCCUCAGGCAUAACUAUAGACAAAGGUUCAACAUCAAAAUGAGGAGAGUGAGAAGGGUCAUUGUUGACCUGGGGUUUUGGAGAGGACUCCUGAGUUGGAUCCUCCAAAGGAGGAUGAGUUCUUCCAACAAGUUCCGUAG